GAACCACUCCUCCAACUAUUAC
rnacentral:siRNA from 1 species